GAAGAGAAUAAGGUAGCCAGAGUUAGCA
rnacentral:piRNA from 1 species